UGAACACCUCAAGAGAUACAACG
rnacentral:miRNA from 1 species